AUACGGAGGGUGCGAGCGUUACUCGGAGUCACUGGGCGUAAAGCGUCCGUAGGCGGUCGGGUAAGUCGGGUGUGAAAGCCCCGGGCUCAACCUGGGAAGUGCACCCGAUACUGCUCGACUCGAGUGCGCGAGAGGAUGGCGGAAUUCCCGGUGUAGCGGUGAAAUGCGUAGAGAUCGGGAGGAACACCAGUGGCGAAGGCGGCCAUCUGGCCCGCAACUGACACUGAGGGACGAAAGCGUGGGGAGCAAACAGAAUUAGAAACCCUAGUAGUCC
rnacentral:rRNA from 1 species